AGUGAACGCUGGCGGUAGGCCUAACACAUGCAAGUCGAACGGCAGCACAGUAAGAGCUUGCUCUUACGGGUGGCGAGUGGCGGACGGGUGAGGAAUACAUCGGAAUCUACUUUUUCGUGGGGGAUAACGUAGGGAAACUUACGCUAAUACCGCAUACGACCUACGGGUGAAAGCAGGGGAUCUUCGGACCUUGCGCGAUUGAAUGAGCCGAUGUCGGAUUAGCUAGUUGGCGGGGUAAAGGCCCACCAAGGCGACGAUCCGUAGCUGGUCUGAGAGGAUGAUCAGCCACACUGGAACUGGGACACGGUCCAGACUCCUACGGGAGGCAGCAGUGGGGAAUAUUGGACAAUGGGCGCAAGCCUGAUCCAGCCAUACCGCGUGGGUGAAGAAGGCCUUCGGGUUGUAAAGACCUUUUGUUGGGAAAGAAAAGCAGCAGGUUAAGACCCCGCUGUUCUGACGGUACCCAAAGAAUAAGCACCGGCUAACUUCGUG
rnacentral:rRNA from 1 species